GACGAACGCUGGCGGCGCGCCGUAACACAUGCAAGUCGAACGAGCGAGAGAGAGCUUGCUUUCUCAAGCGAGUGGCGAACGGGUGAGUAACGCGUGAGGAACCUGCCUCAAAGAGGGGGACAACAGUUGGAAACGGCUGCUAAUACCGCAUGACGCAUGACUGGGGCAUCCCGGACAUGCCAAAGAUUUUAUCGCUGAAAGAUGGCCUCGCGUCUGAUUAGCUGGUUGGUGAGGUAACGGCCCACCAAGGCGACGAUCAGUAGCCGGACUGAGAGGUUGACCGGCCACAUUGGGACUGAGAUACGGCCCAG
rnacentral:rRNA from 1 species